UUCCAACUCAAAUUGGAGUUCUUCAUAGUCUUAUCUCUUUAGACUUGUCUAACAACAAUCUUAGUAGUACCAUUCUAACUCAAAUUGGGGCUCUUCCAAAUCUCACUUAUCUAGACUUGUCUUACAACAAUAUUAUUAGUACCGUUCCAACUCAAAUUGGAAUUCUUCAUAGUCUUAUCUAUUUGGACUUGUCUAACAACAAUCUUAGUA